AGUUUUUCAGCAAGAUAGAGUUUGAUCCUGGCUCAGGAUUAACGCUGGCGGCAUGCCUAAUACAUGCAAAUCGAACGAAGUACUUGUACUUAGUGGUGAACGGGUGAGUAACACGUAUCCAAUCUACCCUUAGGUUGGGGAUAACUAGUCGAAAGAUUAGCUAAUACCGAAUAUCAAUAUUACUAUCGCAUGAGAAAAUAUUGAAAGAUCCGUUUGGAUCGCCUUUGGAUGAGGGUGCGGCAUAUCAGAUAGUUGGUGAGGUAAUGGCUCACCAAGUCAAUGACGUGUAGCUGUACUGAGAGGUAGAACAGCCACAAUGGGACUGAGACACGGCCCAUACUCCUACGGGAGGCAGCA
rnacentral:rRNA from 1 species